UUCUGGUUGAUCCUGCCGGACCUGACUGCUAUCGGAUUGAUACUAAGCCAUGCGAGUCUUUGCAGUAAUGCAAGGCAUACGGCUCAGUAACACGUAGUCAACUUACCCUAUGGACGAGGAUAAUCUCGGGAAACUGAGCAUAAUACUCGAUAGAUCAUAAUGCCUGGAAUGGUUUAUGGUUGAAAUGAUUCGUCGCCAUAGGAUGGGACUGCGGCCUAUCAGCUUGUUGGUGAGGUAAUGGCCCACCAAGGCGAUUACAGGUACGGGCUCUGAGAGGAGAAGCCCGGAGAUGGGUACUGAGACAAGGACCCAGGCCCUAUGGGGCGCAGCAGGCGAGAAAACUUUGCAAUGUGCGAAAGCACGACAAGGUUAAUCCGAGUGAUUUCUGCUAAAGAAAUCUUUUGCAAGUCAUAAAACCACUAGUGAAUAAGGGGUGGGCAAGUUCUGGUGUCAGCCGCCGCGGUAAAACCAGCACCUCAAGUGGUCAGGAGGAUUAUUGGGCCUAAAGCAUCCGUAGCCGGCUCUGUAAGUUUUCGGUUAAAUCCAUGUGCUCAACGCAUGGGCUGCCGAAAAUACUGCAUAGCUAGGGAGUGGGAGAGGUAGACGGUACUCGGUAGGAAGGGGUAAAAUCCUUUGAUCUAUCGAUGACCACCUGUGGCGAAGGCGGUCUACCAGAACACGUUCGACGGUGAGGGAUGAAAGCUGGGGGAGCAAACCGGAUUAGAUACCCGGGUAGUCCCAGCUGUAAACGAUGCAGACUCGAUGAUGCAUUGGCAUAUAGCCAGUGCAGUGUCGCAGGGAAGCCGUUAAGUCUGCCGCCUGGGAAGUACGUACGCAAGUAUGAAACUUAAAGGAAUUGGCGGGGGAGCACCACAAGGGGUGAAGCCUGCGGUUCAAUUGGAUUC
rnacentral:rRNA from 1 species